GGAAUAACCUUGCGAAAGUAAGACUAAUACCCAAUGACAUCCCACGAAGGCAUCCGAAUGGGAUUAAAGAUUUAUCGGUGAUGGAUGGGGAUGCGUCUGAUUAGCUUGUUGGCGGGGUAACGGCCCACCAAGGCAACGAUCAGUAGGGGUUCUGAGAGGAAGGUCCCCCACAUUGGAACUGAGACACGGUCCAAACUCCUACGGGAGGCAGCAGUGAGGAAUAUUGGUCAAUGGGCGAGAGCCUGAACCAGCCAAGUAGCGUGCAGGAUGACGGCCCUAUGGGUUGUAAACUGCUUUUAUAAGGGAAUAAAGUGGGUCACGUGUGACUUUCUGCAUGUACCUUAUGAAUAAGGACCGGCUAAUUCCGUGCCAGCAGCCGCGGUAAUACGGAAGGUCCGGGCGUUAUCCGGAUUUAUUGGGUUUAAAGGGAGCGUAGGCCGGAGAUUAAGCGUGUUGUGAAAUGUAGAGGCUCAACCUCUGCACUGCAGCGCGAACUGGUCUUCUUGAGUACGCACAACGUGGGCGGAAUUCGUGGUGUAGCGGUGAAAUGCUUAGAUAUCACGAAGAACUCCGAUUGCGAAGGCAGCUCACGGGAGCGCAACUGACGCUGAAGCUCGAAAGUGCGGGUAUCGAACAGGAUUAGAUACCCUGGUAGUCCGCACGGUAA
rnacentral:rRNA from 1 species